CCUACGGGUGGCAGCAGUGGGGGAUAUUGCACAAUGGAGGGAACUCUGAUGCAGCGACGCCGCGUGAGUGAAGAAGUAAUUCGUUAUGUAAAGCUCUAUCAGCAGGGAAGAAAGUGACGGUGCCUGAGAAGUAAGAUCCGGCGACAUCCGUGCCAGCAGCCGCGGUGAUACGUAGGGCGCGAGCGUUAUCCGGAGUUACGGGGGGUAAAGGGGGCGUGGGGGGCAGUGCAAGUCCGAAGUGAAAACCCCACGCUCACCCCUGGGACUGCUCUAGAAACUGCUCAGCUAGAGUGCAGGAGAGGCAAGUGGACUUCUUAGUGUAGCGGUGAAAUGCGUAGAUAUUAGGAGGAACACCAGUGGCGAAGGCGGCUUGCUGGACUGUAACUGACACUGAGGCUCGAAAGCGUGGGGAGCAAACAGGAUUAGAUACCCUUGUAGUC
rnacentral:rRNA from 1 species